AGCUCCAGGAGUGUAUAUUAAAGCUGUUGCGGUUAAAAAGCUCGUAGUUGACAUCUUAUUGAAAUAGGCUUCCAAAUUCGAUGAAUUAGGAAUCGCUUUAAUUUCGUAAUAACUUUAUGAACUUGUAUUGAAUUUGAAUAUUUGAUUUAGUUAUAAGUUUUACCUUGAAGAAAUUAGAAUGUUUAAAUUGGAUUCAUGUACUGAAUACUUUAGCAUGGGAUAAUGAAAUUGAAUUUGGAAGGAUUUCGUUGGCACAUCAUUCCAAUGUAACGAUUGAUAGGAAUAGUUAGGGGUACUCGUAUUUGAUUGUCAGAGGUGAAAUUCUUGGAUUAAUCAAAGACUAUCUAGAGCGAAAGCAUUUGCCAAAGAUGUUUUAAUUGAUCAAGAACGAAAGUACGCA
rnacentral:rRNA from 1 species